UAAAAGUUUUAUUCUUGCUUAUAUUUUUGCUUAUACUAUAUUUUACAUGUUAAUUUUUUUGUGAAUUAAAUGGUAUCUAGAUGAUGCUUUUAUUUUAAUUUGCAGUAAUUUACAUUAAAAAUUAAAGAAAUUUAGAUUUAGUAUUAUUAUUUAGUAUUGGUUAAAUUUGUGCCAGCAGCCGCGGUUAUACAUUUAAUACAAGUAAAUUUUAUUAGUUUUAGUUAGAUUUAUUAUUUUAAAUGAAUAUUAUAUUUUUUAGGUGAAAUUUUAAAUUUGAUUUAAUUUAUUUAUAAUUUGUUGAGGCUAAGAAAUUUUAUAAAAAACUAGGAUUAGAUACCCUAUUAUUAUGAAUGUAAGUUAUAAGGCUUGAGUAGUAAUAGAUAUAUUCUUGAAACUUAAAGAAUUUGGCGGUAUUUUAGUCUAUUCAGAGGAAUCUGUUCUGUAAUCGAUAGCCCACGUUUAAUCUUACUUAAUUUAAUUAGUUAGUAUGUAUACCGUCGUUAUUUGAAAAUUUUAUUAAAAUGAUAAUUUUCUAAUUUUUUUUAAAAAGAUAUAUCAGAUCAAGGUGCAGCUUAUAGUUAAGUAGAAAUGGAUUACAAUAAAAUUAUUUAUAUGAAUAUUAAGCUGAAAUUUUUAUUUGAAAGUGGAUUUGAAAGUAAUUUUUUUUUUAUUAUAUAGAAUUGAUUUUUGCUCUAAAAUAUGCACAUAUCGCCCGUCGCUCUUAUUAUUUAGAUAAGAUAAGUCGUAACAUAGUAGAUGUACUGGAAAGUGUAUCUAGAAUGA
rnacentral:ncRNA from 1 species